AAAAGUGUUCUAAAUCGAUUUCUGAUCACACCAUCGUGUUCGGCUCGUCGAGACGGAGUUUCAGAAGCCAAAACAGUCGAAAACGGAACUCUCACGCGCCCUCACGCGCGGCUUCUUUGUCGGCGCGUCAUCUCACCCUCAGCACGCGCCAGCACGCGCAGUCAGCCUCCCGCGCGCGUCAGCACGCACUCAGUUGCUCUCUCACGCGCCUACACGCGCGUCUUCAGUACACUCGCGCCACACGCGCGCGUGGCAUCCACGCGCCUGCCCAGUCAC
rnacentral:lncRNA from 1 species